rnacentral:lncRNA from 1 species
CCCGGCCCAGGCUGGCCCCGGCGGCUGGAGGGGGCCGGGUGGCGGGGGCGCCCCAGCCUCCAAGUGGGCGCCCAAGGCGGGUUGGGAAGUGGCAGAACAAGCCCCGGCUGCCGACAUCGGUUCGAUUUUCUGGCCAGCCUCUCGCUCUCGGGUGUGACUUAGGCGCUCCUUGCCUCAGUCUGGUCAUCAGUAAAAUGGACGCGACAUUACAAGCUGCAGUAACCCAUUACUGGGCUACAGAGCAGCUGGGGUCAUUACAUAUUUAGACUGUCGGGCAUCACUUUGUGCUCUGACUCGGUUUGAUCUUGUAUCUUUGAGCAAACUUUAUAAUCUCACCGCGACUCAGUUACCCCAUCUGUUAAAGUAGCAAGGACGUCUCACCUCUCCGGUGGUUUGAAGAUUCCACGAAUCAGUAGUGAGACAACAGCUGGCAUGCCUCAGGGGUCUGCCCUCUGCCCCAUCAAGGACCAGAGGGACUGUGGGAAGUUUUCUUCGUGGCCUGAACCAUGUAGGGUGGGGAGUGUAAGCGCCCCUCGAAAUAAGAUCUUUGUUCCCCAAUCAGAGAUUGAACCCAGUGGAAGCAUGGAGUCCCAAACCACUGAUCGGCCAGAGCAGCCCCCAGCAUAGCUUUGGUCACCACGUGUCAAUGACCUUCCUCUCCAAUCUUCUCCUCGAGGGGGCCCUCAGGUGUCUCUGACUCCGUCUGCUCAUCCUUCCUCCGUGGUUCCUCGGUCCCCACACUUGGUCCACCCCUGAGACCUGUCUGCCUCCUGAAGCUGCCUGUUUCCACCUGUUCCCCGGGGCCUCCGUCCUAAUUCAAGCCAGUGGACAGCCAGCCACACGGGUCUCCCCAUUGGCCCUCUGCUUCCACUCAUGUCCUUGUUGCUGUGUGCUUGCCCUGGUGGACCUGCUGAUCACCUCCCACUAAAUCUGCUAUACCAUGAUUUCAGACAAUGGUUACACAACUUGUAUGCGUAUGUCAAAACUCAGAGAACCAUGUAAAGGCAGAAUUUUACUCUAUGUAAAUAAUACGUCAAUAUAUUUAACUAAAAAUAGAAACCCAGACUUCCCUGGUGAUCCAAAGAUAAAGAAUCUGCCUGCAAAUGCAGGGGA